CAGUAGCCGCGGGAAUACGAAGGGGGCUAGCGUUGUUCGGAAUUACUGGGCGUAAAGCGCACGUAGGCGGAUAUUUAAGUCAGGGGUGAAAUCCCAGAGCUCAACUCUGGAACUGCCUUUGAUACUGGGUAUCUUGAGUAUGGAAGAGGUGAGUGGAAUUCCGAGUGUAGAGGUGAAAUUCGUAGAUAUUCGGAGGAACACCGGUGGCGAAGGCGACUCUCUGGACUGUAACUGACGCUGAGGAGCGAAAGCGUGGGGAGCGAACAGGAUUAGAUACCCGUGUAGUCCCUGUCUCUUAUAC
rnacentral:rRNA from 1 species